rnacentral:rRNA from 1 species
GACGUAGGGGGCGAGCGUUGUCCGGAUUCAUUGGGCGUAAAGCGCGCGUAGGCGGCUGCGCAAGUCGGUUGUGAAAUUCCGGGGCUCAACCCCGGAACUGCGUCCGAUACUGCGUGGCUAGAGGUAGGUAGGGGAGAUCGGAAUUCCUGGUGUAGCGGUGAAAUGCGCAGAUAUCAGGAGGAACACCGGUGGCGAAGGCGGAUCUCUGGGCCGAUACUGACACUGAGGAGCGAAAGCGUGGGGAGCGAACAGG